GAUGAAGAACGUAGUAAAAUGCGAUACUUGGGGUGAAUUGCAGAAUCCCGUGAACCAUCGAGUUUUUGAACGCAAGUUGCGCCCGAAGCCUUUUGGCCGAGGGCACGUCUGCCUGGGCGUCACGCAUCGCGUCGCCCCCCACAAUUCUCCGUAAAGGGAACAUGUGUUUUGGGGGCGGAUAUUGGUCUCCCGUGCUCAUGGCGUGGUUGGCCGAAAUAGGAGUCCUUUCGAUGGACGCACGAACUAGUGGUGGUCGUAAAAACCCUCGUCUUUUGUUUCGUGCUGUUGCUCGCAAGGUAAACUCUUUAAAAACCCCAAUGUGUCGUCUCUUGACGACGCUUCGACCGCGACCCCAGGUCAGGCGGGACUACCCGCUGAGUUUAAGCAUAUCAAUAAGCGGAGGA
rnacentral:misc_RNA from 1 species